rnacentral:rRNA from 1 species
GACGAACGCUGGCGGCGUGCUUAACACAUGCAAGUCGAACGGCAAGGCCCUGCUUUUGUGGGGUGCUCGAGUCGCGAACGGGUGUGUAACACGUGAGUAACCUGCCUUUGACUUUGGGAUAACUUCAGGAAACUGGGGCUAAUACCGGAUAGGAGCUCCCGCUGCAUGGUGGGGGUUGGAAAGUUUUGGCGGUUGGGGAUGGACUCGCGGCUUAUCAGCUUGUUGGUGGGGUAGUGGCUUACCAAGGCUUUGACGGGUAGCCGGCCUGAGAGGGUGACCGGCCACAUUGGGACUGAGAUACGGCCCAGACUCCUACGGGAGGCAGCAGUGGGGAAUAUUGCACAAUGGGCGGAAGCCUGAUGCAGCGACGCCGCGUGCGGGAUGACGGCCUUCGGGUUGUAAACCGCUUUCGGCUGUGACGAAGCGUGAGUGACGGUAAUGGGUAAAGAAGCACCGGCUAACUACGUG